CACGUAGGGCGCAAGCGUUGUCCGGAAUUAUUGGGCGUAAAGAGCUCGUAGGCGGUCUGUUGCGUCUGCUGUGAAAACUCGGGGCUUAACCCCGAGCCUGCAGUGGAUACGGGCAGACUAGAGGUAGGUAGGGGAGAAUGGAAUUCCCGGUGUAGCGGUGAAAUGCGCAGAUAUCGGGAGGAACACCUGUGGCGAAAGCGGCUCACUGGACCACAACUGACGCUGAGGCGCGAAAGCUAGGGGAGCAAACAGG
rnacentral:rRNA from 1 species